UACGUAGGGUCCGAGCGUUGUCCGGAAUUAUUGGGCGUAAAGGGCUCGUAGGCGGUUCGUCACGUCGGGAGUGAAAACUCGGGGCUUAACCCCGAGCCUGCUUCCGAUACGGGCAGACUAGAGGUAGGCAGGGGAGAGCGGAACUCCUGGUGUAGCGGUGGAAUGCGCAGAUAUCAGGAAGAACACCGGUGGCGAAGGCGGCUCUCUGGGCAUUAACUGACGCUGAGGAGCGAAAGCAUGGGGAGCGAACAGG
rnacentral:rRNA from 1 species